ACUGUGGUGGUCUAGUGGUUUGGACGCAUCUUAGAGCGAGCCCACGCUCAGGUGAGGUCGAGGGUUCGAAUCCCUCCCACAGCC
rnacentral:tRNA from 1 species